rnacentral:rRNA from 1 species
AGAGUUUGAUCAUGGCUCAGAUUGAACGCUGGCGGCAUGCCUUACACAUGCAAGUCGAACGGCAGCACGAGAGCUUGCUCUUGGUGGCGAGUGGCGAACGGGUGAGUAAUAUAUCGGAACGUACCCUAGAGUGGGGGAUAACGUAGCGAAAGUUACGCUAAUACCGCAUACGAUCUACGGAUGAAAGUGGGGGAUCGCAAGACCUCAUGCUCAUGGAGCGGCCGAUAUCUGAUUAGCUAGUUGGUGGGGUAAAAGCUCACCAAGGCGACGAUCAGUAGCUGGUCUGAGAGGACGACCAGCCACACUGGAACUGAGACACGGUCCAGACUCCUACGGGAGGCAGCAGUGGGGAAUUUUGGACAAUGGGCGCAAGCCUGAUCCAGCAAUGCCGCGUGAGUGAAGAAGGCCUUCGGGUUGUAAAGCUCUUUUGUCAGGGAAGAAACGGUGGACUCUAAUACAGAUCACUAAUGACGGUACCUGAAGAAUAAGCACCGGCUAACUACGGGCCAGCAGCCGCGGUAAUACGUAGGGUGCAAGCGUUAAUCGGAAUUACUGGGCGUAAAGCGUGCGCAGGCGGUUGUGCAAGACAGAUGUGAAAUCCCCGGGCUCAACCUGGGAAUUGCAUUUGUGACUGCACGGCUAGAGUGUGUCAGAGGGGGGUAGAAUUCCACGUGUAGCAGUGAAAUGCGUAGAGAUGUGGAGGAAUACCGAUGGCGAAGGCAGCCCCCUGGGAUAACACUGACGCUCAUGCACGAAAGCGUGGGGAGCAAACAGGAUUAGAUACCCUGGUAGUCCACGCCCUAAACGAUGUCUACUAGUUGUCGGGUCUUAAUUGACUUGGUAACGCAGCUAACGCGUGAAGUAGACCGCCUGGGGAGUACGGUCGCAAGACUAAAACUCAAAGGAAUUGACGGGGACCCGCACAAGCGGUGGAUGAUGUGGAUUAAUUCGAUGCAACGCGAAAAACCUUACCUACCCUUGACAUGUCUGGAAUCCUUGAGAGAUCAGGGAGUGCUCGAAAGAGAAUCAGAACACAGGUGCUGCAUGGCUGUCGUCAGCUCGUGUCGUGAGAUGUUGGGUUAAGUCCCGCAACGAGCGCAACCCUUGUCAUUAGUUGCUACGAAAGGGCACUCUAAUGAGACUGCCGGUGACAAACCGGAGGAAGGUGGGGAUGACGUCAAGUCCUCAUGGCCCUUAUGGGUAGGGCUUCACACGUCAUACAAUGGUACAUACAGAGGGCCGCCAACCCGCGAGGGGGAGCUAAUCCCAGAAAGUGUAUCGUAGUCCGGAUUGUAGUCUGCAACUCGACUACAUGAAGUUGGAAUCGCUAGUAAUCGCGGAUCAGCAUGUCGCGGUGAAUACGUUCCCGGGUCUUGUACACACCGCCCGUCACACCAUGGGAGCGGGUUUCACCAGAAGUGGGUAGCCUAACCGCAAGGAGGGCGCUCACCACGGUGGGAUUCGUGACUGGGGUGAAGUCGUAACAAGGUA